GGUCGGUUAGCUCAGUUGGUUAGAGCGUCGUACUAAUACAAUUCAGGUUGUAUCAAGUAAUGCGAAGGUCAUGAGUUCGACCCUCAUACUGACCA